GACGGACGCUGGCGGCGUGCCUAAUACAUGCAAGUCGAGCGGACGGAUGGGAGCUUGCUCCCAGACCGUCAGCGGCGGACGGGUGAGUAACACGUGGGCAACCUGCCUGUAAGACUGGGAUAACUCCGGGAAACCGGGGCUAAUACCGGAUAACUCUUUCCCUCACAUGAGGGAAAGCUGAAAGAUGGCAUCUCGCUAUCACUUACAGAUGGGCCCGCGGCGCAUUAGCUAGUUGGUGAGGUAACGGCUCACCAAGGCGACGAUGCGUAGCCGACCUGAGAGGGUGAUCGGCCACACUGGGACUGAGACACGGCCCAGACUCCUACGGGAGGCAGCAGUAGGGAAUCUUCCGCAAUGGACGAAAGUCUGACGGAGCAACGCCGCGUGAGUGAUGAAGGUUUUCGGAUCGUAAAACUCUGUUGUCAGGGAAGAACAAGUACCGGAGUAACUGCCGGUACCUUGACGGUACCUGACCAGAAAGCCACGGCUAACUACGUG
rnacentral:rRNA from 1 species